rnacentral:rRNA from 1 species
UACGGAGGCAGCAGUGGGGAAUAUUGCACAAUGGGCGCAAGCCUGAUGCAGCCAUGCCGCGUGUAUGAAGAAGGCCUUCGGGUUGUAAAGUACUUUCAGCAGUGAGGAAGGUGGGUAUGUUAAUAGCAUACUCAUUUGACGUUAGCUGCAGAAGAAGCACCGGCUAACUCCGUGCCAGCAGCCGCGGUAAUACGGAGGGUGCGAGCGUUAAUCGGAAUUACUGGGCGUAAAGCGCAUGCAGGUGGUUUGUUAAGUCAGAUGUGAAAGCCCGGGGCUCAACCUCGGAAUUGCAUUUGAAACUGGCAAACUAGAGUACUGUAGAGGGGGUAGAAUUUCAGGUGUAGCGGUGAAAUGCGUAGAGAUCUGAAGGAAUACCGGUGGCGAAGGCGGCCCCCUGGACAGAUACUGACACUCAGAUGCGAAAGCGUGGGGAGCAAACAGGAUUAGAUACCCUGGAG